rnacentral:rRNA from 1 species
GAUGAACGCUGGCGGUAUGCUUAACACAUGCAAGUCGAACGGACUCUUCGGAGUUAGUGGCGGACGGGUGAGUAACGCGUGAGAAUCUGGCUUUGGGUUCGGGACAACCACUGGAAACGGUGGCUAAUACCGGAUGUGCCGAGAGGUAAAAGAGAAAUUGCCUGAAGAUGAGCUCGCGUCUGAUUAGCUAGUUGGUGAGGUAAAGGCUCACCAAGGCAGCGAUCAGUAGCUGGUCUGAGAGGAUGACCAGCCACACUGGGACUGAGACACGGCCCAGACUACUACGGGAGGCAGCAGUGAGGCAUUUUCCGCAAUGGGCGAAAGCCUGACGGAGCAAUACCGCGUGAGGGAAGAAGGCUUUUGGGUUGUAAACCUCUUUUCUUAGGGAAGAACAAAAUGACGGUACCUAAGGAAUCAGCAUCGGCUAACUCCGUG